rnacentral:rRNA from 1 species
CAGUAGCCGCGGUAAUACAGAGGGUGCAAGCGUUAAUCGGAUUUACUGGGCGUAAAGGGCGCGUAGGUGGUUAUGUAAGUGAGAUGUGAAAUCCCCGGGCUCAACCUGGGAACUGCAUCUUAUACUGCGUAGCUGGAGUGCAGUAGAGGGUAGUGGAAUUUCCGGUGUAGCGGUGAAAUGCGUAGAUAUCGGAAGGAACACCAGUGGCGUAGGCGGCUACCUGGACAAAUACUGACGCUGAGGCGCGAAAGCGUGGGGAGCAAACAGGAUUAGAUACCCCUGUAGUCCCUGUCUCUUAUAC